rnacentral:misc_RNA from 1 species
AAGCCAUCUGCGAGAGU